UCUCGAUUGGUCUAGUGGUCAGGAUACCUGCUUGUCAUCAUCCGACAAGCCGCAGGUGGCCGGGGUUCGAUUCCCCGAUCGAGAG